rnacentral:rRNA from 1 species
ACUCCUACGGGAGGCAGCAGUGGGGAAGUAUUGCACAAUGGGGAAACCCGUACGAUGCAGCCAUGCCGCGUGAGUGAUGAAGGCCCUAGGGUUGUAAAGCUCUUUCAGCGAGGAGGAUAAUGACGUUACUCGCAGAAGAAGCCCGGCUAACUUCGUGCCAGCAGCCGCGGUAAUACGAAGGGGGCUAGCGUUGUUCGGAAUCACUGGGCGUAAAGCGCACGUAGGCGGAUUGAUAAGUUAGGGGUGAAAUCCCGGGGCUCAACCUCGGAACUGCCUUUGAUACUGUCAGUCUUGAGUCCGAGAGAGGUGAGUGGAACUCCGAGUGUAGAGGUGAAAUUCGUAGAUAUUCGGAAGAACACCAGUGGCGAAGGCGGCUCACUGGCUCGGUACUGACGCUGAGGUGCGAAAGCGUGGGGAGCAAACAGGAUUAGAUACCCCUGGUAGGAUAGCG